rnacentral:misc_RNA from 1 species
ACAGCGACAGCGACAGACUAUAGGAAGCAGUGCACCGUUAUUCUUAAAAAAAAUGGCGUCAUCAGAAACAAUUACUUGCACAUACUGUGAAAAUGAAAUUGUGGGUCUCCGAGUCAAAUGCUGUGAAUGCAUCGAUUUUGAAAUGUGUUUACAGUGUUUCGCUGCUGGAGCAAAAAUUGGACCCCAUGAAAACACACAUUCCUAUCAAUUUGUGCACCCUGGACCAAUAGAGAUCUUUAAGGAUAAAACUGGUUGGUCGGUACAAGAAGACAUACAAUUGUUGAACGCCAUAGAGCGAUAUGGCUUUGGAAACUGGGAUGACAUCAGUAAACAGCUCAAGACACGAACUGCGGAUGAGGUGCGUGACGAAUACAUCAGUCGCUUCCUGGUGGGCACAAUCGGCCGAUUGACUUGGGCGCAGGCCGAGAAGCAGCGACCGCGACUCAAUGGCGGUGGCGCAACCUCCACUCAAGUGACGACAACUGCGGUGGACACCGCCGGCAGUCAGGGUGGGGGUGGGGGUGGUCAGCCACCCAGUUUGCACUUCAGUGCCGAUGAGGCGUCGCAGUUUGUCUUCACAUCGCUCAACGAUGAACUAGAAAUGGAGUAUGAUAAUGGCGCCGAAGUGUUGAUCUCUUCUUUGAAGGAUAGCAGUAUGGAAGAUGACGAAUUAGACACUGCCUUGAAACUUGCUCACGUAGACAUGUAUACGAUCAAGCUGAGAGAGAGAGCGCGCCGGAAAAGAGUGUCUCGUGAUUAUCAGCUGGUGGCUCAGUUUUUCUCCACGAAAAAGGACAAAUUGAAAAAACGAGGCCUUAGAGAAGAACGUGAGCUGGAGGAGCGGCUGCGGUCUCUGAGUCAGUUCCAUACGGCGGCCGAACACGAGCAGGUGGUGGCCAGUGCAGUGCGCUUCAAGGAGCUCAGUCGUCGCCUCACCGAACUCAUUAACUACCGCGAGGCAGGCAUCACGCGCAUCGACGAGCUGCCUCACUACGAGCAGGCGCGCCUCGCGCACCACUCAAGAUCUCAGAACUUGGAUAUCAGUCCUAAGGCAUUCCCAUAUAUUCAGAAGAAGAGAAAAAGAGGACGAGGACGCACCUCAUUCAGUGUGCACCACAAAAAGCAGCUGCAAAGGUACUUUGGUCUCGGCAACAGACUCGGGGGCGGCAGGGGGGGCGGUAGGGGUGGCCGGGGCGGUAGGGGGGGCCAACCCCCACCACAACUCACAUUGUCAAAUUGACCUCAUCGCCAGCCGACAUCUGCUAUCGCCCACCGAAACUCAGAUGUGCACUUCUUUAGAGCUUACACCUUCACAAUUUAUAUCCAUGAAAGGGAUGAUGCUUCUUGAUCCAAUUGAUAAACUAGAAUCAAAUACGGAAAAGGUUAUAAUGGACCAUGUCUCCAACAAUAAUUGGAUCGCCAAAUAAGCUGAGAUUAUCCUAAUUUAUUGUUUAAAUAUUUUAUUGCUCUUGUAUUAUUACAAGUCAUUACCUUAUAUUAUUGUACUUAUAACAUAUAAGAAUUGGCGAUAGUAUCAGCUAAACUUAGAAUUAGGCUAUCAUUCAAUUGAGUUCACUUAAAAUUUGAUCAAAUACUUCGAUUAAAUCUUAGUAAUAUUAUGUUAAUAAUGAAUCUCAGAAUAUUGUCUACCUAAUUCAUUUGGUAUUCAGUGUUGAUUUUUUUUGCAUAAAAUGUCAAUGAUCUGUUAAAAUAAUAUAUAAAGAAACUACAAUAAUAAUAAUAAUUUGAUUACGAAACGUUUUGGUUUCUGAAUAAGUUUGAAUCAAUUAAUUACUCAACUUUUAUCGAACUACUUUUUUAAAACUGUUCAAACUGAAUAUGUAGUGAAUACAUAAAAACGAUACUCAAGUUUUCAUGCAAGCAUUUUUGGAAAGAUAAUACUGUAUCAUAGAAAACCUAUUAACUAAUUAUUUAUUUGAAAUAUGUUAUCGGGUUUUCCUGUCUUGUACAAUAAUCAUUAAAAUCAAUAAUAUCAUAAAUUAUGACACCCAGCUAUUCAAUUCAAUAAUAAUAUGAAAAAUUGAAAUAAAAAAAGAUCAAUAAAAAUUAUCAAUGUCUUAUUUACUAUUCUAUUAACUCUUGAAAUACUGUUUUAAUACUUGAAACUUUUUUUUGUAUUGGGUAUUAUUUUGGUUAUCUAUUGUGUAUACAACAAAUGAUUUUGAAGUAUCUUCAUUCAUGGAUUUAAUUUAUUAUAAGCACAAACACGUUGUGAUUUUUUGUAAUAUUAUUAGAGGAAUACCAAAGUAGUAGGCGGUUUUAUAAACAAUUCUCAAUAAAUCUUUUAGUUGAGCAUGUUAUGGUUCACUAGCAACCAAUAACAGGAACCAAUCAGAUCAGUUCUAGAAGCUGGUUGUUAGGCAGCUUUCUUGGCAAAGAUCAUUUUUGCGACCGUUUAUUAAUUCCCUAAAAUGGCAAAGGCAGAAAUGCCGUCGUUAUAGCAAUAAUUAUAUAGUAAGAAGUGUUAUUGUUGAGUUGAAUUUUUUGUCAAAUUUAUAAAUUAAAAAAAUGAAUCCUGUUAUUGACUUCAUCCAUGGAAUUUGUCUAAUGAAAUAGGCUACCUUGAAAGAAAUUCUAAAUCUUGUGUUAUUGGCAAUGACAAUGCAAAAUAAUUUUAUUAUUUAAGGAAGAAAACUACUUACCAUGAUAAAAUAGUACAAUAGUAGUAAGACAGACUCAUUGAUGCAAUUGUAUGGUAAUGAAUAUUAUUACUAUUGUAUAAAAAUUAUUAAUCUUAAGAUAUUCGUGCCUUCUCCGUACUGAUUUUUAUAGUAAUUUGUGAAUAAAUGAAUAAUACAAUAUUGAAA